UGAACCUGGGACCUUCAAAAAGGUGAGGGCUCUAACCACUACUUUAGCUUUUAUGUGGGUUUUAUUGUUACUGAUACAAAUCAUGGCCAGGGUGCCCCUCCCACCUGCUGUGGUUUCCAUGUGAACAAGACUGAGGGGUCUGCCAGGUCCCAUGCGGUCACGGGGAUCACUGGAACGAGGGUUUGGGACCCGCACCACCACUGUGUGCAGUUUCUGACUGCGCUGGAACAGCGCACACCCCCUGUGCUCCCCACAGAGUUGUAGUGGAGGCGUUGCCACGGCAACCUGGUACCUAGUCCCCAGCUUGUGCAGAGUUAUUGAACUGCAGCCAGACUUCUGCCUUGGUGGAUAAUUAGGCUCCAUUCCGCAGACCAGCUCUCCAGCGGCUCGAACCCGGGGUGACCGGGGCAUCGGGACCCCUUGUCUUCUUGCAGUAACAUAUAUGAAACUGACACACAUACUUUCUGAAAUGUAUUUCAGGUCUGGGUAGUUGGCCGUCUGUGGUCAGGUGUAUUGUCCAAAGAGGUUGCAGGGUCAAGUCCCAGUAGGUGGCCUUUGCUUUGUACCUUUGGGUACAAUGAGUACACUACUCGCUCCUCUACUAAUAGGGUCAGCAGUCACCACAAACCACCCUCCUGGUCGAACCGCCUGGCUGGUUCAGGUUUUGCCUUCACAGGCAGUGGCAGUACUCUGUGUGUGUGCGUGUGUUUCGGGGGGUGUGUGAAAAUGCAGUCCUAUUGCUCUCCUCUGCAUUUAAGCGAAACCUGCGCAUACACUGCGUGUGUCUGCAAUACAGUCCGAUGUUAAACACAUACUGACUGCUGUUUUUACAGCUCUUCACACACCGAGCGCUGGCCAUCAGACUCCCCACAGCCCUCGGUACGUGGGGAUCGAUGACACGGUGCACUGACGGGCCCGUAAAACCGUCAUCCUUGCAGCCCCCAUAACAGACGGCCCAUACAGGGCAAUUAGGGCGGCCUCGUUUGGCGGGGCGGAGCCUUUCUGGUCAUCAGUCAUUGGCGAGGUCCCUGUGCACUUACUUAAACGUUGAUGUAUGUUUGCCCUCCCAACCCCAGAGUCCCCGGCGGUGCGAGGACAUCCGGCAUCAGUUGCAGACCCACGGUCAUUAGCAUGCGGCCCACGCUGUCACCCCAGCGUCCUCCUCUGGGGGGGGUAGCGGGAUGGUAUGGGUAAUGAGCUGAGGUGGAUUGUGUGUGUGCGCGCAUAUAUGGGGGGCUCAUAGUCACCCAGCAAUCCUAAAAAGGCCCUCUGACCCGCACGAGACAGAGACAGAGCGCUGUCCACACACACACACACACACACACAAACACACACACUCUCUUCACACUACUGUUACAUCUGAAUGUUCUCAAACCCAGAUACACAAACAACAAGAUAAAUAUACUGUACUGUACCUCAUCCGACACACACACACAAGGAGACACACUCAAUAAAUCCACUGUGUUUUCCCCAAGAAAACACACACAGAGGGAGAUGCAUUUGCUUUGUGGAAGACAGAGAGGUCGAAACACAUAGACGGUGAGGGGCUUCAACGGGGACUCCAGGAGGUGGUCCUGGGGGGUUCACAAGGGGUGGGGAAGAACAGGUGAGGAGCUGUGACAAAACACACUGGUAUGUUACCGCUUUAAUGUUUAAUAUAAAUUAAUGUAAAUUCUCGGGUUCGGUUUGCACCGUCCUGUUUUAUAAUAAGCACAGAAAAAGGUUAAUCUUCAUGUCAUACUGCGGUUAUUGUUUGUUUGUUCAACACAAUACUUUUCUGUCGCUUGGUAAUUGCCAUAAUUAAACAAACCUGAUUCUCAUUUCAGAAAGCAAGUUUCCUUCUCCCUCUUUUCAUUAACGACAUGGACUGUGUCCUGAAAUCAGCUACGGCUGCAUGAAAUUAGUCUUAAUUGGAAUAUAGAUUAAUGACAUAAUUUAGAUACAUUUUAUGAAACACUAAUUAUGUAUUACAUAGGAGGUAAUAAAAUGACUGUCAUCUCAAAUAUGUCACCACUGUAGGAAUUCUAUGAGGCUGAGCAUGUUUUAUGUUAUGUACACAUAUUUGUAUUUGCGUGUGUGCGUGUGUAAGUCUGCAGAUACCAUCCAUCUCCCUAUGAGGGCACCGUGUGGCUGUGAGCCAAGGACACAGCGACUCCCCCCCAAGAUGGCCAUGCGUGUUCCACCACAGCAAGGGGUCGAGUCCUCAUUUCCUCUGGAUCUGACAGCCAUGGGAGGUGUGGAAUAUACACCACAGUGAUGGGAUAGACACAUCCCCCAUCUCAUCAUCAUCAUCACCAUGCCCACAAGAAACAUCAUCCUCACGCCACAGGUGCUCCUCGUUGUGCCGAGGGGGGCGUGACAGCUACUAUGUGCACGCGGGGCUGAGCGAUUGUCAUCGUGACCACAGGGCGUACCUUCGACUGGGACAGCCUCAAGAUUCUGGCCAUGGAGGGAAUUCCUGGAAGCCUGGUUCUCCAGACUGAACUUGAUCAACUGGCAUGUGGACAUGGACGCCACUUCCCAUCCAGUCAGAGGAAAGGCACAUAAGGGAUCCCCACCAGGACCAGUUGGACAUGAAGUUCCAGAAAUCUCUGAUGUUGAAAGCUGAAGGUCAAGCUCAGAGAGUGUGGAAUCAAAGUAGAAGCUGCCCGUGUAGUACCCCGUGGCCAGUUCGAUCAGGUGACGUAACCAGGUGUUACC